CACGAACACAACUGAAACCACGUGCUUUGUCAUUCGCGCUCAAGGUGGCAACUGAGUAAGAAGACGAGCUCGUUGUUGCAAGCCAGAGUGUUGAAGUCAGCAGAUUGCUGGACACUUCGCCGGAGAAAGACGAAGAUGCGAAGAUGCGAACGAAGGAUUAAAGCCCAAUUCUACUAGCUUAUCUAUAACUAGGGGCUCUGCCGCAGGCGAAUUCACAAUUGAUCCUGGAUUCUGUUAUAUCGGCUGCCAACUGUCAUAAAUGUGAAUGUAGUUCACAAGUGAACAUGCCAUUGACAUGUAAAAUUAAGAAAAAAACAACAAAACGUGA